ensembl:lncRNA
GGAGGAUUGGCUGACACACCAGAAGGCUGUGCUACCAUUCAGCAUGACCUGGACUGGCUGAGAGUUGGGCAGGGAGGAAUUUGAUGAGGUUCAAAUAAGAGCAAGUGUACAGUCUUACACCUGGGGAGGAAUAACCACAUGCAUCAGUACAGAGGAGGGGCUGACCUGCUGGAGAGGACCUGGGGAUCAUGGUGGAUAACAGACUGGCCAUGAGCCAGCAGUGUGCCCUUGUGGCCAAGAAGGCCAAUGUGAUCCUGGGGUGCAUAUCAAAGAGCAUGGCCAGCAGGUCAAGGGAGGUGAUCCUCCCCCUCUACUCUGCCCUGGUGAGGCCACAUUUAGACUACUGUGUCUAGUUCUGGGCUCAACAGUUCAAAAAAGGGUCUCCUAGAGAGAGUCCAACUGAGGGCCACAAAGAUGAUGAGGGACCUGGAGCACCUCCCAUAUGAUGAACAGCUGAGAGCCCUGGGACUCUUCAGCUUGGAGAAGAGAAGGCUAAGAGGUGAUCUUAUCAAUGCAUAUAAAUAUCUGAUGAGCAGGAGCCAACUGGAUGGGGGCAGGCUCUUUUCAACAGCACCCAGCAACAGAACAAGGGGCAACAGGCAAAAAACUGGAACACAGGAAGGUCCAUACAAACAUGCGGAAGAACUUCUUUACCUUGAGGGUUACAGAGCACUGGAACAGCCUGCCCAGAGAGGUUGUGGGUUCUCCUUCUACGGAGAUAUUCAUGACCCAUCUGGACACCUUCCUGUGUAACUCACUGUAGGGAACCUGCUUUAGCAGGGGAGUUGGACUAAAUUAUCUCUCGAAGUCCCUUCCAACCCCUAUGACUCUGUGAUUCUACACGAUUUAAGAAAAACAACACUUAGAGCCAACUGACAAAUAUUAAAAGCAAUAAAAAUAAUAUUCUACAAAUUGUUCUGACUGAAACACUUUAACAUAAACAGUGAAGAAUAUUUUUCAUGUUUUUUAAAAUGUUAUUUGUGUAAACCAAGUAGUCACCUUCAAGUACAGCGCCAACAACUAAAUUCAAUUUGACUGGAAUUCCUUUUAGCUUCUACACACAGCUUGAUCAAAAUCCUUUCUCCCAUCCUUGUUGCUAUUGAGAUUUUCCACGGUGAACAGUUGGUACAGGAAGUGUGACACAAAUCAUGGGUCCUGCACAAACUCCUCAAACACAAUUGCCUCACUCCUUGGGUAUAAAAGACAUCAAUAUAAAGCAUUUCUCUCCCACAUACUUUGCAGGUCAGGAUCAUCUACUAAAUAUAGUUCUAAUGCUAAUAAAAUAUUAACAUAAAUAUAGAUGAAUUGUAUUAAAAGGUUUUAUAAUACUGUCAUUACAAAAGGACUUCCUUUUUCAAUUACUAUAUCUGUAUAUUACUGGUAAUAACUCUGUAUCACCAAUUUCAAACUUUUCCUUGUAAGCUUUUUUCCCAUGCAACUGAGUGCUCCUUACUGCUGAUUAUUCAAAAUCAGAAGCUAACCUAACCUGCACUGCUUCUAAUAAAGGCACUUAUAAAUGGAAGACUGAAAGUAGGUUGCAUCAUACUGAAAUGAACAGGUUUUUUUUUUUUUUUUCAAAUGGUAAAUAUUUCUAAUUACGUAUUUUGUGUCAGUAAAUAGCUAUUAUAACACUGGAAGAUCCAUCUCAUACCUACCAGACGCCAAACUCUAAAGUUAUCCAAACUCAUAUUUUUCUAAUUAUUUCCAUAAUCUGUCUAAAUGUCCACACACUGAUAAACGCAGAAUAUAUUCCUAUAGAAUAAUUUCUAGAAAGCAUAUAGUUCUGAAUUUGAAAACAAUUUCUUCUUAGAUCUAAAUAUUCAAAAUCAAAGUAUAAUUUCUCCUUCUAGUUACUAGCAAUUGUCCACUAACUUUGCUAACUAGUUACACCAAUCCCUGGCUCAAAUUAAUUCACUAUAUAUAUUUAAUCUCGUAUCCUUCAAAAUACAGUUUAUUUAUAUUAUAGAGGAUUAUAUACACUAACCAUUAAGGCUGCAUUAUCUUCAUAAUCAUACAAACAACAAAAAGCAUGGUUGCAACUCAAAGACAUUACUACAUCUUGCCUUGAUUCUGCAAGAAAUCAUAUGAACAUGACUGUUCAUGGAGUCCCAAACAUGUAAUGAAGUUGCGCUCAUACAAAACAAGGAUCUGCAAAUUGUUUUAGUAAUAUAAUUACUCAUAUACGGCUCAAAAGAACAAAAACAAACAUUAUAAAUCACAAAUAGCCAGCAUCCUAAAUUUCCCUUUUAUGAUAUUAAAAAUAGGUGCAUUUAUCAAGUGCAUACUUGAUAAAAGAAAAAAAAUCAUAAAUACAAACCUGAAAAGACAAACUUGACAGGAACUAUGUAACUACAGUAGCUCAUUUCCUGCUCAUCUCUCAUAUAUUUAAAUCAAAUCUUAAAUGAAACAUAAGUCAGAAAGUUCACUACUCUUAGUUUAAUAUAAGCAUUUUUAUUAAAACAAGAGUUAUUUUAAACAAUGAAAUGUUACAGCUAAUGUUGCUUCCUGAUGAUGAAUACUACCCAACUAUUUCUGCACAGUCCUUUCUUUCCUGUAAAGCAGAAUUACGCUCAGCCCCUAUACAUGUUACCAACCAAAAGAAAACAGUAAUUCAGCUACGCAUGGUGAUAGGGACAUUCUGAGACAACUAGUGGCUCCCUCUGCAAUUAAUAAAGUUUAAAAAUAAAAAGCUGUUUUUUUGAAGUGUAAAUGCUGCUUCUCCGUGCAUGUAGGCCUGAGACCCCGUUAACAGGACCAGGCAGCACAAAGACAGGAAUGGGAGAUUAGCAGGAGGGAGGAAGGGAAGCUGAGAUUGAGGCUCAGCAGGAUCCACAGGCUUUUAAAAAUUCAAACUGCUCCCUGACCAAUACAAAUCACAGACACACUACUGACUUCUACAUGGAUUUACAUCAUUAAAAUGAUACUUUUCAAGUGACAGCUAUAUUAACUUCACCCUUUAAACACUUAUAAAGGCACUCAGAGGCAUGAAAGCAGUUUUUAAGACUCUAAACACAAUACCCCAGAAAGUUAUUUUCUCAGAUACAAUAGCCACUUAUUAUUAUAACAGAUCUGCCUGAACAAGUCAAAAAUCUACUUGAAAAGACAAAUUAUAAGAUAUUGAUACUUGUUUGUCAUUUAUAAUUUCCUUUCUAUAUGAAAGAUGAAACUUGGUAUCUUAAAAUUUCCCUCAAUUACGUAAUUUCUGGAGGAGUAUUUUUAUUAGUUCACACUCUACCACACAGUAAGUCCAAGAUUUACUUAAUUGAAAAUUAGCUACCACUUAUUUGUGAAGACUUGAUACUUAACAGUCAUUUACAAAACACAUUUGACCUGUUAAAGUGGCAACUUAAAACAUAAUGGACACAAAAGGCCAAUAACAACCUCAAGUCUGACAAGAACAGAAAGUUUUUUAAACAUUUCUCACUUUUCACUUAAUUAAAUUCAUGUUCAAUUCCCAAGAACUUCAGGUAAGAUCUCAUCUUUAUCUUGACCCCUGAAAUGUCAUAAAUGUACUACUUCACACAUGACCCCUUUCCCAUUUUCUGUUUGCUACAAAACAUAGUAUUUCUUCUGAUUUCAGUACACGUUCCUGUAACACCUACAGCACAUAAACAUGACUGUGUGGAAGCCUGACACAAUAUGCUUGUCUAUCUGUAUUUCCUGUGUCUGCAGGUACCUGUGUUGUGCCAACAUCCCCACAAAAUCUAGGUUUUAUACUAUAAACAUACAAAUUUAUUAACAGACUAAUCAAUCACUAUCUUAUUUAAAGAUCAAACAUUUGUCCAACUGAACAUUUGAAUAUUCAGAACGGAGUUUGUCAGAAGGUGAAGAGAAUAGUGACGAUAUUUACAUUACCUCUUUUCUCCUACCCCUCCACUUACUCCUUCCUCAGCUCAGAGGGCUGUCUGCACUGGGAUCUUACUUCCUUGCCCUGGUAAAGUCAUAAAUAUGACACACUUGCGACUAAUUGUAUUGUUCCCUCUUCCUCCUGCUCCUCUAUCGACUGAGGCCUGUUACUGAGAAGCCGUUUCGCCUUUCUAAUCCCCAAGCUAGAGUAAAGACGCUGGCCGGCAGGCCUGCGUUGUCCACUGGGCCUAGGCCUCCCGGCAGCUUAGGAAGAACCAAUCUCCUCCGCCAAACCCGAACAAGAAAAAAGGGGAGCUGGAAAUAAACACUUCCAAUUGCCACCUAUUCCCCUCUACCUCAGAGAACAACUAAUCCCUCUCUGCUCCCGCAGUGCUGGGCCGCUUAGGCUGGAAGGCCCAGCCUGCUGCUGGAGAGGGCAGGGAAGGGGAGACAAGGGGGGGAGUUACCUGAACAAAUCGUCGUCUGAAUCCAACGAGAAUCGAAAAGGGGGAGAAAAAUCCACUCCCUCCCUCCUCAGAGGAGCCGCUGCCGAGCCACCACCGCGGAGCAGGAGGAGGAGGGGAGAUAAUAUAACAACAAUAAUCCGGGCCGGGAGGGGAGCUAGUUCCUCUUCCGCCUCCUCCUCAGUGCAGCGAACAUGUAGAGCCAAGCGGUGAGCGACCAAGACAAAUCCCUUCCCCCUGAGCCUGCUUCACAGUAUCAACAUGGGCCAGGCUGAACUGGUUCCGACGCACAGUCCGAGCCGCGAAGGGGCGGGAGUAGUGCUGACAAGGGGGCCGCCUCUGCGUGCAAGUGCAAGAGGGCGGGGGAGGGGACCGCCUAGGCAGGGUGAAUCGGUACCGAGAGGAGAUAGGGGUGGCGGGUUGGGAAGAAAAGAGAAAGGAUAGAAUAGGAUAAGAUAAGAUAGAAUCGGAUCCUGUGUGUAUGCCUUUCUCGCUCCCUCAGAACAAAAUGCCGACCGGAAGUGCAGCUGCAGGAAUGACUCCCUCCACAGGCGCCAAACAUAACAGCCUCUCCCUUUCCUCCACGGUCGCUUCCUCACUUGCUUGGCUGGCACUGCUUCCGCUGCCGCUGCAUUGCUCUACGUUACCCUCCUCCUAGCUUUGCUGCAACCGAAGUUCCUUGUCUCACCGCACCUGGGCAGCGAUGGGCACAGCUGAAUCUCCACUGCGUGGCUGUCACUCCACUUCCCACCCACCUGGCUCCCUCCUGAUUUUUUUCUUCUUUUCCCAGCUGGUGCAUGGAACUAGAUGGGAGUUUGUACUCAGGCCUACACUGAAGGAAAAGCAGCUAGAGAUUUGUGAAAAAGUGAUCUUUGAAAAAAAAUACACAUUUUGGGUUUAUUUUUUUUAUCUUCCUUAAGGAUGGUAGGGAGAAGGACUUACAAAUGACUGCAAAAUGCCACCUUAUAGGAGGCAGACUUAAGAAGGCAACUUAUAAUGAAGCCAUGAAGGCAGCAGUCUCCAUCAGCCCCAGCAAGCAAGACGUGGCAAAUCUGGGACACUUACUGGAAUUACUGUUACCAUUACUGAUAAUCUCUGUGGAAUUUAAGAGGCUGUGUCACAGGAACUAAACUAAAACACCCAAUGCCAAAAGUGCUGCCAGAGCACAUAUCAAACUUGAGUGAUUUUUAAGAACAGCCCUUUUGGACAAGUACAAGAGAGAAUGCAGAUGUUAAGCUGAAGGGUCCUAUGCUGGAGGCUGAUGUUCCUCACCAAUUCCAGAUUUACUGGAAAUAUUUUAAUUGUGGGUUGUGAAGGACUGUUUGGAAAAAGAAUGUCUUAGUCUGAAAGAUUUUCUGUUUUUUUUCUGUACAGGGAGGAAUUCAGUGACACACCAUUGCUCCAUACCCACUUCCAUGUCAGACACCAUUUUGUCAGACUGCCCCUCUGUUGCCAUCUGUUGUACAGCAACAACACGGAUCGAAAUAUUGGUGGGAAGGUUCAACCUCAACUGCCAUCCCACCAACAUCUGCCUCUGACAUUGUAGGCCAACA